UAAACUGAACUUUUUCCUUUUAGUUAGCAUUAGGGUUUAAACCCUAAACUGAACUUUUCCUUUCAGUCAGCAUUAGGGUUUUAAACCCUAAACUGAACUCUUUCCCUUUAGUCAGCAUUAGGGUUUAAACCUAAACUGAACUUUCCUUCAGUCAGCAUAGGGUUUUAAACCCUAAACUGAACUCUUUCCCUUUAGUCAGCAUUAGGGGUUUAAACCCUAAACUGAACUUUUUCCUUUAGUCAGCAUUAGGGUUUUAAACCCUAACUGAACAUUUCCUUUCAGUCAGCAUUAGGGUUUUAAACCCUAAACUGAACUUUUUCCUUCCAGUCAGUCUAUUAGGGUUUUAAACCUUAAACUGUAUCUUUUCCAGUCAGUCAGUCAUUAGGGUUUAAACCCUAAACUGAACUCUUUCCUUUCAGUCAGCUAUUAGGGUUUAAACCCUAAACUGAACUUUUCCCUUUAGUCAGCUAUUAGGGUUUUAAACCCUAAACUGAACUUUUUCUUUAGUCAGCAUUAGGGUUUUAAACCCUAAACUGAACUUUU
rnacentral:lncRNA from 1 species